AGGCAUAUCUUCUAAUGGUUAGGAAGCUAGACUGAUAUUCUAGUAAUCAUAGUUCGAUUCUAUGUAUGCCUA
rnacentral:tRNA from 1 species